rnacentral:rRNA from 1 species
UGGGGAAUAUUGGGCAAUGGGCGCAAGCCUGACCCAGCAACGCCGCGUGAAGGAAGAAGGCUUUCGGGUUGUAAACUUCUUUUAUCAGGGACGAAGAUGUGACGGUACCUGAUGAAUAAGCCACGGCUAACUACGUGCCAGCAGCCGCGGUAAUACGUAGGUGGCAAGCGUUAUCCGGAUUUAUUGGGUGUAAAGGGCGUGUAGGCGGGACUGCAAGUCAGGUGUGAAAACUAUGGGCUCAACCCAUAGCCUGCACUUGAAACUGUAGUUCUUGAGUGCUGGAGAGGCAAUCGGAAUUCCGUGUGUAGCGGUGAAAUGCGUAGAUAUACGGAGGAACACCAGUGGCGAAGGCGGAUUGCUGGACAGUAACUGACGCUGAGGCGCGAAAGCGUGGGGAGCAAACAGG